rnacentral:lncRNA from 10 species
CUACUCGGGAGGCUGAGUAAUCCCAGCACUUUGGGAGGCCAAGGCAAGUGGAUCACCUGAGGUCAAUAGUUCGACACCAGCCUGGCCAACAUGGCAAAACCCCAUCUCCACUAAAAAAAUACAAAAAUUAGCCAGGCAUGGUGGUGUACGCCUGUAAUCCCAGCUACUCGGGAGGCUGAGGCUGGAGAAUUGCUUGAACCCAGGAGGCGGAGGUUGAAGUGAGCCGAGAUUGCGCCACUGUACUCCAACCUGAGUGAUAGAGUGAGACUCCAUCUAAAUAAAUAAAUAAGAACCCAAAAGAGAAAUGGGCAAAGGCUAUGAACAAGUUCAUGAAAAGGAAACCCAAAUGACUAAUACAUAAGAGAAAAUGCUCAACCUCAGAAUAAUAGAGAAAUGCAACUUAAAACCGUAAUGAGGUAUCACUUUAUGUCCAUCACAUUAGGAGAAAUUAAAUAUCAGAGUUGGAAAGGACAGAAGCAGCCUGAACUCUCAUCCAUAUGAACUCUGUACAACCAUUGUGGAGGGCCAUUGGCAGUACACAGUCAAGUUGAAGGUAAGCAUUCCCCAUAACAUGGUAAUUCCACCUUCUAGAGAAUCACUUGUACAGGUGUGUAAGGAUGCAGGCACAACAAUAUUAGACCUAGCUGGAUUAGAACCAGCAAAAUUUGAAAAUAAACUAAAUCAGGGUCAGCAAACCGGACCACAGACCAAAACUUGUCCACUGCCUGUUUCUAUAAACAAAGUUUUAUUGGAACACAGCUGCGCCCAUUUGUUUGCAUAUUGUCCAAGGCUGCUUUCCGGGUACAACAGCAGAGUUGAGAGACUGCACAGAGAAUGGAUGACCUGUAAAGGCUGAAAUAUUUACAACCUGACUCUGCAGAAAACGCUUGAGACCCUUGAUCUAAAUACUCAUCAGGGAAUACAGAUGAUGCUACAAGCAAUGAAAAUAGUAAACCACAGCUACAUAUGUCGACAUGACUAAAUCUCAAAAAUAAAAUAUUUUCAAAAGCAAGUUACAAAAUGUUACAGUAUGAUGCUAUUUAUAUGAAGCCUGAAUACAUGCACAGAAUGGUAUGCAUGUUUAUGGACAUGUGUGUUUGUAGUAGGAGAAUUAAAAUACGUGGUUGGGCGCCGUAGCUCAUGCCUGUAAUCCUGGCAGUUUGGGAGGCCAAGGUGGGCA